GGGGAAGAAAAGGAAGUAAAGAUAUUUUUAAUUUUGUGCAGAGAAAAAAAAUACAGCGAGAGACAUUGAAAGUCGCAACUUGGAACAGAAACCCCAAUUCCUUCUACAUGUCUCUUUGGCUGAUGCCCUUUAUCUUUUGCUAACUCUUGGAAUCUGGAACCAUGUACACAUCAUAACCAUACACAAAAAUAAUUAACCUAAUUGUCCAC
rnacentral:lncRNA from 1 species